GGAUUCCCCUAGUAACUGCGAGUGAAGCGGGAAGAGCUCAAAUUUAAAAUCUGGCGUGCCUCUGGUCGUCCGAGUUGUAGUCUGGAGAAGCGUUUUCCGUGUUGGACCGUGUACAAGUCUCUUGGAACAGGGCGUCGUAGAGGGUGAGAAUCCCGUCUUUGACACGGACUACCAAUGCUUUGUGAUGCGCUCUCAAAGAGUCGAGUUGUUUGGGAAUGCAGCUCAAAAUGGGUGGUAAAUUCCAUCUAAAGCUAAAUAUAGGCGAGAGACCGAUAGCGAACAAGUACCGUGAGGGAAAGAUGAAAAGCACUUUGGAAAGAGAGUUAAACAGUACGUGAAAUUGCUGAAAGGGAAACGCUUGAAGUCAGUCACGUCUGCCAGGACUCAGCCUCGCUUCUGCUUGGUGUACUUUCUGGUUUGAUGGGCCAACAUCAAUUUUGACCGUUGGAGAAAGGCCUUGGGAAUGUGGCACCUUCGGGUGUGUUAUAGCCCGUUGCUGUAUACNACGGUUGGGAUUGAGGACCGCAGCACGCCUUCAUGGCCGGGGUUCGCCCACGUACGUGCUUAGGAUGUUGGCAUAAUGGCUUUAAGCGACCCGUCUUGAAACACGGACCAAGGAGUCUAACAUGCCUGCGAGUGUUUGGGUGGAAAACCCAUGCGCGUAAUGAAAGUGACAGCUGAGAUCCUCUCAUCAGGAGCAUCAGCGCCUGGACUUGAUCUACGGAGACGGUUCUACGGUAGAGCAUGUAUGUUGGGACCCGAAAGAUGGUGAACUAUGCCUGAAUAGGGUGAAGCCAGAGGAAACUCUGGUGGAGGCUCGUA
rnacentral:rRNA from 1 species